rnacentral:sRNA from 1 species
UUUAACCACUUGGAAGCACAUGCACCUGUGCUGAGGUGAGUCUCCCUGACAAGGCAGUCUUCAGGGUAUGGAAGGAAAGACACUCACCUCUAUGGCCGGCAUAAGAAGUUUGUGGACACACCAGGGGGUGCAUCUGAUAUACUAACAGGUGAGCGAGAAUGCUUCUGAAUCGGACCUUUGCUCCCCAGCCUCCUGGGACUACUGGAACAUAGCCGGAAAGCCUGAUCACUGUGGAAGCAUCAGCAGUUCACAGCUGGAGAUUCUUGGAACGAAUAUGCCUGGCGAACAGCAUCCAUCCUGCUAAGGAUGCCAAGGAAUUUUCUUCCUCCUGCAUUUACUGGGGAGAUCUCAAACAAUAGUGGGCCAACAGGAGGACGUCACCUGUUUCCUCAUGCCA